GUGCUCUGACAUUAUAAGUUGGCUUUAUCCAAAGACUUGUGUUCAAUUGCUUGGUCCCUUUUGAUUCGUCGAUCAUUGAGAAGUUUUCACUCGGAGCAAGAAAGCUAUGGCAGCGCCUAGGGCAUCUUGGGACCAUGCAUACGAGAAAGGUCUUGUUGAUAUAAUGCUUGACCACAACAAUCCCCUUUAGCGAGGUCAAAAUGGGUGGACUGCUGAAGGGUGGACUAGAAUUACAAAUACAUUCAAUCAAAAAUUUCCACUAGCUCAUUUCUCCAAGCAACAAAUCCAAGAGAAGGAUAAGGAUUAAAAAGGAAAUUAUAAGGCAGUGAGAGACUCUCGGAAACAGAGUGGCACGGGAUGGGAUGAUACACUUUGCAUGAUCAUCGCUGAACCUGUAAUAUGAAAUAAACUUAUCAAGGAUAAUCUAAGGGUAAAGAAGUUCCGUUCAAGACCAUUCAUGCUCUUCAAGUCAUUGGCUACACUACAUGAAGGAAGUAUUGCUUCAGGAGACUUGAACUUUGUAUCAAUUCCGCAAGUGGGUCUCACAAGCGAUGCCAUUUCUCCUAUGGAUUCCUCUACCAAUUAUUUGAACCAUAUCUCCUCUACCAAUGUUGAUGAUGGUAUGUCCUCAUCUAAUCUACAAGGGCAAGGGGCAUCAAGAAGAGAUGAACCUGAAGCUACAACAUCUACCAACUCUGAACAAAAGGGAGCACUGCCUGUGAAAAAGAGGAAGCAAAGUCAGAUCGCUGUUGUACUUGAGGAUUACAUGGAUUUUUGGAAGAAACAAUCUGCAAAACUGGUUGACGAGUUGAAGGAAUCAAAGCAAGAUGACAUUUUCUCGAUUGGAAACUGUGUGGCUGCGCUAGAACCAAUGGAAGAUUUAUCAAUUGCAGAAAAAGCAAAGGCACUGCGGCUUUCCAAAUGCCCAAUGAAUCGAGAAAUAUUCAUCAAUACCAAGGACUCAAAUCUUCGGCUUUAUUGGUUGAAGGAGGAGAUUUCUGAGAUGUAGAUAGCAUAAGGUUUACUAAAGCUAUCCGAUAAAAAUGUUCAAAGAAGUUGAUGGUGGAAGUUUCAGUGGAGUAACUAUUUCGACAACAAACAUUUUUGCUAUGGAUCAGUCACACAUGGGCAUUUUUUAUGGAACAAAAUGCUUAUCAUUGCUGGAU